rnacentral:rRNA from 1 species
CGGACGGGUGAGUAACGCGUGGGUAACCUGCCUCAUACAGGGGGAUAACAGUUGGAAACGACUGCUAAUACCGCAUAAGCGCACAGUACCGCAUGGUACAGUGUGAAAAACUCAGGUGGUAUGAGAUGGACCCGCGUCUGAUUAGCUAGUUGGUGGGGUAACGGCCUACCAAGGCGACGAUCAGUAGCCGACCUGAGAGGGUGACCGGCCACAUUGGGACUGAGACACGGCCCAA